UUCCCGAGUCCGCCCUUCUUUUACCGUCGCGCACAAUUAAAGGUUUGAAAAUUUCCAGUCUGAGCUCGAACCGCCCUUCUCCGCUCCAUCUGCGCCGCCCAUCGCACGAUGGACGGCGGCGAGUACGCGUCCAGCCGCGGCCCGGGCGCUCCGACGCCGGCGCGUGUCUCGCUUGCCCACCUCGUCUCCCCCUCCCCUCGCCGCCUCUCUGGCUGUUUCGAAGAGCCGAGCAGGCCGGCGCUGAAGAAGAUCGCUUGGGUCUCGCUCCAGGGCCGCCUCGUCGGCGCAGAGGAGGCCACAUCGGCCGGCGCAAUCGGAGGCGGCUUGAGCGGUGAUGAAGCGGUGGCAUGGGAUCUCUUUAGCCCUCUCCAUCGGGUCCUCGUAGUCGCCGUCGUCGCGGCAGCCGCUUACAACUCGAAGAGGGCUCGGCAGAUCGAACAGUUUCAGAGAUCCGUAGAGCUAAGGGACGAGGUGCUCCUCAGCAUGCAGCAGAAGCUUGAUAAUUUAUGUGAGCAGAUGAACUCCCUUCAGGAUCAACCAGUCAAAUGCAUUUCGGGGCUUUCAUUGGAGAAUGAUCAAUUCAAUGCUGAGGUGAAGCAAUUACAGGUUGCAUCUCAAUUUUGUGGUUCUAGGACUUCACUGCUGGAGCUUAACCCUGAGAGUGGAAGUUUGCCUCUUUGUAGACACGUAUCAAGUGGGCUACAUGGAGGGAAAGAUGCCACUGGGAUAGAGUCUGCAAAAGGGGAGGCCUUCAACGCAGAUAAUUUGAUCCCAACGGAGCAAGAAGAGCGUCGGAUGUCUGAUUUGUCUGAUUUUAAUUGGAGUGUUACAUCUUCUGUUGACUUUCAGCUAAGUGCAUUAGCAUCAGAGCAAGAAUUCUAUAACCUUCGCAAGGAGUGUGAAGAGAAGGAUGCAAAAAUAAAGGAAUUAGCUAUUGCUGUUGAUGCAUUUAGGGCUGCUGACUGUAAGAGGAUAACGGAACUUGAAGAAAUCAUAAGAAGGAAGAACUUGGUGAUCUCCAAACUGAAGAAAGAUAAGGCUGUUCUCGAGAAACAGGUUGUUGAGCUUACAAGGCUCCGGAGAAGUUCUUCUACUGCUUUGGACACUAGCAAUCUGCAGCCUCCAGUCAUGGCAAAUAAUAUCCUGUAUGACAUGAGUAGUACUAGUCCAUCAUCUUCUGACCCGGAUUCUCCUAUGACCAGCAAACAAUACCAUUCUCAACGUUCUGUUGCUGAGGAUAAUCCUCAGCGUCAUGACAUUAGAAUGGCUGAAAUUAUAAGUCCAUCCUCAGUGGAGCAUUUAAUUCCCUUGAACAAAUCAAAUGAUGGGUCUCUAAAGCAACAAUUUAUUAGUCCUCUUAAAGAGAACCAAAGGAUUCAGAGAUCUGAACCAGCUUCUGCAUUAAGACACAGACGAAUUGUGCAUUUUAGUGAAGAUUCCAAGAGAACCAGAAGGGCUGCUCACCAGAAAGCAAAUUACACCUCUUCAAAAAUGAGAUGGACCUAAAUAUUAAUGUCAAUAGGGAGCAGGUACUUGAAGAGGAAGCAUUGAUGAUAUGUAGGCACUGGGUGGAAUUAUCAAUUUUGUAUACAGUUUUAUGGCACUGCAGCUGAAAGCCAACAAAAACUUGUUUACUCUAUUUAAGAAAAGAUUCAACAUACUGAGAGUUCUAAGAUUUUAUUUGUCAUAUGUUAAUGCUGAACAAUUUUCAGGCCACACGCUGCUGGCCCUCAGAAACCGGGAGGGCCCACGCCAGCUCGUCAUCAAUGAAGUGGGGCCCAUCGACGGCUAGCGAGGAGGAACCGUGUUCCCUGUCCGACAAGAGACAAGUGAGUUCGACCGGCAGCAGCUCAGGCGCCUCGUACAUGGCGGCGAUCCACCGUCCGUUUGCCCCCUUGGCUGGAUCCUGCACCGUUGAUGACCCGCAUGUGGGGAAGGAAAUAGCAGGUCCCCCUCCGUCGUAAGAAAAGCUUCCGAACGUUUUGCCUUCUAGAAGCGGUGGGGCUCGCCGGCGGCCGCCAUUCUUUCUCCCAUACCGUGUACCUUGGCCAAGCCACGAGACGCCAUCUCCUCCGCCCUUGUGCCUUCAAAAAAUCCUGACAU